AUUGAACGCUGGCGGCAGGCCUAACACAUGCAAGUCGAACGAGCGGCGGACGGGUGAGUAAUGUCUGGGAAACUGCCUGAUGGAGGGGGAUAACUACUGGAAACGGUAGCUAAUACCGCAUACCAUCAGAUGUGCCCAGAUGGGAUUAGCUUGUUGGUGGGGUAACGGCUCACCAAGGCGACGAUCCCUAGCUGGUCUGAGAGGAUGACCAGCCACACUGGAACGGAGACACGGUCCAGACUCCUACGGGAGGCAGCAGUGGGGAAUAUUGCACAAUGGGCGCAAGCCUGAUCCAGCCAUGCCGCGUGUGUGAAGAAGGUCUUCGGAUUGUAAAGCACUUUAAGCUAGGAGGCGUUACCAACAGAAUAAGCACCGGCUAACUCCGUGCCAGCAGCCGCGGUAAUAC
rnacentral:rRNA from 1 species